UUUAAUUGCUUCUCUCUCUUUCCAUUAUCCCGUGAUUUUAAAUUUAAAUUGAUUUCACUCGGUUGUUUCCAAUAUAACGCUGCUCUCUAGACUGGGCGAGACCUGGAGUCCCUCGCCCAGGCGCGCCAGUCCGGGGCGACGUGCAAGUCAGGAAAUUGGGCCUUCUCCCGGGAGGCUCAACUGACCCAUUAAGAGAAAUUAGGGGCGCCAAGCCCAACCCCCACAUCUAUAAAUAGGGGACGGUUACCAAUUGUAAGGGACUUUGAGCUUGAGAAAUAAAAGCUUGAAAUUCAGUUACUUUCUCUCUCUAGAUUCUCACAUCAUGAUCAUCACACUAUGAGUACCGUACAUCAUCUCUAUGUUCUUGGAUAGAACAUUCUCUUUUUUUUUUUUUUUGAUGGAAAACGCUUCUCUCUCUCUCUCCUUUUCAUUUAACCCAAUUUCAUCAUCCCAAUAUCUCCAUUGUUUGUCUCUCUCUCAGUGUUAAUUUUUCCUCCAUCUUCUCUUUUUCUCUUCCCAUUCGAAUUACUGCAACUCGGCCCCUCAUCUUCUCUAUUCAAUUGUCACGUUUAUAGCCAAUAGAUGUUUAUGUUUUACCUCAAAAACCAUGCCAAUUUCAAAUGUAAUCUUUGGAACCCUCAAUAUCUUUUAAUCUCCUUUUUUAUUUUGUUAUCUGCGCCUUGACCCCAUUUUCUCCCUAUAUAAGGGCUUUAAAUCAUUUGUUCUGCUCAUUCAUCAGCUGUUUUAUCUCCGCCCUUCUAUCUGCAAUUAUAUUAUUUGAUUCUGGGAAACAACUGUUAUGGGCAACAACAACUUUUAUAGCAUAUGGACAACAAGGUUGGUUUUAUUUCCAAACUGAUGUAGGGGUACUAACAUAUGGGAAGAUUGGAGAAUGGGGUUUUACAAGUGAUCUUAUUUAACAGGCCCUUCUCCAAGAAACCUUUUAAUUACCCUUUCAUAGAGUUCUGUAUUUAUGGUUAGUCCUUAUUCUAUGAAGUUUUUGAAAGAGUAUUUUGCUGGCACUUAUUUUAUUCAUUCUUUUAUGUUUAUUUUUCUGCGUUAUUUGGUUCUUUUAAAGGGUGAUCAAUGUGACUUCAAUAUUUUCGUUACCUUUUGUUCAGCAUCCAAGAAAGUUGGCUAUUGGAGAAGACUUCCAUUGUUAAGCUACAAUGUGAAGACUCAACAUCCAAGUUAUAUUCCUAAAAAUACUCCCUCCGGUCCUUUUUAUAAGAAACACUUUGCCAACUUUUUUUUGGUCCUAUUUAUAAGAAACACCUUAAUAAAAUUAAGUCAAAUAAUCAAUUCCAAUGCAAAGAGACAUAUUCCCAAUGCAAAAAUUUGGAGGGAAAUUGCAAGCACCCAAUAGGCAUGGUCAACAUUUAUGGUAAUUAGUGUGAUUGUUCUUGUAAAAAGGAAAAAACAUCAUUGGAAUUAAACAUAAUAGUUUAUUUUAUAAAAAAAAUAUGUUUUCUUGGUUUGUGUGAUUUGGCCAAGUUUUUCUUAUAAAAAGGACCGGAGGGAGUAUUAUUCAAGCAAUGGCUACGAGGAUUACCAUGCCUCACUUUCAUAAACCAAUUAUUGAAAAAUUUGAACCCACUUCUAUAUACACAUAACACACAAUUGUAUAUUCCUGCAAUAUAACCUCUGAUGGCUUUUAUAAUCAUUUUAUUCAGUAUGCUUAAUUGAAUUUUGUGACUUAAGUUCUUAUCAAAGUUAGUUAGUUUAUGUUGCUGCUCUCCAUGUGUUUCAUAGUUUUUUUGGGUGCCGUAAAGUUUUUAUAAAUUAGAAGUGUUACAACAAGAUAAGCAAUCUUGAGAUUUAAACCAGGGAAAUUUAAAGAUAUUAAGAGAAGUUGAGUUGAAUGUUUUUAUUUUUUUAUAAUCAAAAUAUUAAUUGGGAUAUCAAAUAUAAUAUCAAUUUUCGCUGUGCAGCGCAUUUCAUAUAUAAAGCCAUAUUUUAUAAUCAAACUUUAUACUAUAUUCGCCCAAUAAAGCCAUCUUAUAUUUUUUUCAUAAUAUUCUUAUGUUUCAACAGUAAAAAGAAAGGAGGAUAAUUAACCGGUGAUUAUGAGGUAGAUUUAUGUUCCUAUGAAAAGUGAGUCUGGUCAUUGGUAUUUGAUGGUAAUUUCUAUUGUGGAUUAUGCUAUCUAUUACUUUGAUUCCCAUCUCAAUGUGGAUGAUGUACCCAUUAGAUGUGCAAGCAUGCGAACAAUGUGUGAUACACUUAUGCAAAUGAUGAGUACAUCAGGCGGAUAUGUUGAAAUGGAUUUCUUCCGAAAAAUGUCAGAUUUUCAUUCAUGGCAGCUGAAGGAAGCAAGGGGAAUCCCCAACACUUGGAGCAGACUGCAGUCAUGAUUCAGCGGUUUGGGUGCUGAAUUGGCUUGAGAUGGGAGCUGGGUUUAGCCCCAAUCACAGUGGAUAUCCGAAUGAUUGUGCUGUGCGUUUGAAAACAGGCACUAGUCUUUUAUCUGGAGAUCAUAACGACAUGAGGAGAAUUUUUGAAGAGAAGGCUUCCUUGCUCUGGACCAGCCUUCAUGUUGCUGAUAUAGAUUGAGGCCAGCACUGCCAGCACCUUUGAAGUUUUUUGUUGUUUGCUAAUGUUCAGCUUGAUGUGGCUGUGGAGGAGGCUAGUGCAAGUUGUGGAGAAUAUGGUUUUUUGUUGUUGAUUUACAUGUUUUUCCACCACAUGAGUAUUUUGUCGCAAAUAUGUUUUGUUGCCUGUUGAACCUCUUGUAAUUAUGCCACAUUUGGAUGAUUGGAUGAUUUUGUGGUAAUACAAUGCAUUGAAUUUCCUCUGGUGGGCAAUGCAUAGUAUUACCACCAUUUGUCGGAACAUAUGAUAUGAUAUUAUUGCAUUUGCUGAGUACUUAUAGUUCUGAGUAGUAGUGACCCAUCCA